AAUAUUAAAUCUUUGCAAUAGACAUUCUAUGUAGAAUAGAAGCCCGAUCGAUAUUUCCCCUUUCCUCUCUUUUGCAAUCCCUACCUAAUUUUUGACAUUUGCCCCCAUUUGACCAACAGAGCUUCAUUCGAGCGGCGAUUUCAACUUUCCGUCAAGAUUGGGGAGAAAACUUCACUGUCAGAGCAUUUAAGGUUAGGUACUAUUUUUCCCAUUUUGCUUUGAAUGAUAAUUAGGGCUAAUGGGAUUUUAAAUAUUGAUAUCCAUUCUUAUUUGUUCAAAUGAAUUAUGGAAUCAAUGUUUCUAUUGUGUGCUUAUUCGAUUAAAAUGAAUUAGAAGGCACUAAUAUCUUUCAAUGCAUAAGAUUUUUAUUCUCUUCUUUGGGUGUCAAUAAAUCUAGUUCAUUCUCAAAUUCUGUCAGGGUACCUACACUAAAAUAUUCUCUAGAGACAGCUUUUUUAUGAGUUUCUUUGAUUCAAACUGCUUUCUAUAGUUUUUGCCUUAUUCCCCUUUUAUGGUUGUUCUUUUUUUCCUAGUUUUGUAUGAGGCAUGUCAUUUCUUCUGUUUUAUUUGAAGCAUGAUGCACAUGCAUUAUUUGACUAUCCAUUUGGGGAUAUUCUUUAUGUAUAAACGUAUGAUACACAUAAACAACCUCUUUUGACAUUUAAUGGAUGAUCUCAACUUUAUUGCUUGUGUUAGCUAGAAGUUGCUAUUUAACAUCAGGUCUGGAUUAUUGAUUGAUAUUAUAUUCCUUUCUAGCUUUCUACUUAACUUCAUUCCAGAUUGUUUAUUGUAUUUGAAACAAAAGUACACAAUAUAAAUCUCCAUGCUAAACUAAACAGAACUGAAACUCCCAAACAUGAAAGAGCCCUGCAGUCUAGCUUUAUUGAGUAAUCCUGAAGACCAGGAAUUGUGAACUUGAGAUCUAGAUCUCAAGAAAGUAGAUUAGAAGUCAUAAGGCGGCAAGCCUAGAUAUAUACUUAAUUGGGAAGCUUCCAUUUCAAACUGCAUAAUGAUCAAUUCUUGUUUUUUUUCCUUUUCCUCAAGUGAGAAGACAAUAUUGGUCUGUGAGUAAUAGACUCACACCAAUAGAUCAUGGUCAGGAAGUAAAAUCACAUCUUGUGGGGAGAAAGCUUCCAUAAGAGAGUUUAUUCAUUCUUUGUUAGGCCUAAAGUCAUUGCAUCUAGAUCGUAAUUAUGACAUAGGAUUUAUCUCACCUGAAUGAUAGAAUAUAUACAUUUCUAACCAAUAAACUCCAAUGAAUUCUUACUACAAGGUAGUAAGUCUUCUUCAUAAGCUUCAAUACCCUUCAGAUAAGAUUGUUGGAAACCCUCAAACAAAGCAUUCACCUCAAAUUAAUUUGAUUAUUAGAAACUACUUGUUGAGCUAAAUCGGUCAAAUCUAGAGCCAUCUCCAUUACGAUGGCAAACACUAAUAAAUGUUUGCUUUCCAUAUUACAAUUUUCACGUUUUCAAAAUCAAAUCUCUACUACGUGUUCGUUUGGUCCUCACUACAUAUAUUUCAACUAUCCAAGUGGUCACAUAUCUAAAUUUUUACUACUGACAUCAAAUCUUACCCUAUCCAUUCAUUUAUCACUGGUCAAAGACCUAACAAAUUUCAUUCCUCACAUCACAUAAAGUAGAAUGAUAAAUUGUCAAAAAUGAAAAUGGGAAAGUUUCUUCCAAAAGCAUACAGCCAGCAAUAUCACAACAAAAUAGAAUUUAAGCUUACAUGAGAUAUACUUUCAUGGAUGGCUGCUCUCUCCUGUAGAAAUGGCAUCCUUGGAGACAUACUCCCAAAGACCUGCAUGAAGGAGAGUAACACAAUCUUAGUUUUGUAAAGCAAGACAACAAUAAGAGUAAAAACAAAUAUAGAAAGAAGAAAAAUUACAGUUACCAUAAUUAGGAGAUAAGGAGAAUAUUUAAUCCAGGCUUACCUUAUAAUGGC